UUAUUACUCCCUCCGUCCGAAAAUACUUGUCGAAAAAUAGAUAAAAAUGAAUGUAUCUAGAACUAAAAUACAUCCAGAUACAUUCAUUUCCCCGACAAGUAUUUCAGGACAGAGGGAAUAUCUU
rnacentral:pre_miRNA from 1 species